ensembl:lncRNA
CAAAAAUAUAUUUUAACCUAUUUAUAUUAUGCAGAAUUAUGUGACAUUUUAGCAAUGACGAGUACACUACUAUGUUGUCCGGUAUGUUGCAUAAAAACCAGAGUAAGGUCAAUAGUUUAUUUUUAAAAUAUGCUGUUUCAUUCGUCCCGCAUGUGUGUUUCAAACGUCCCGACUUGGCGGGGCGUUUGAAACAGAUGUCAACUUACGUUCAAAGUUUAAAAAAAAGCUCGAUCCUCCAACAUAUGUAUUAAAUUACAGUUGUAACUAAGAGAACACACAUGUGCGUUGUUGAUCACAUGUUGAAAUUAUUUGUAUACGUAACGUCAUCUUUAAAAAAGACGUUUAACUGAAAAGUGUUUCAAUCGACCCGGCUUGCACAACGCUUCAACAUUGUUGGCAGAGCACCCCUCCUUAUUCACACUGGGUAUUCACACACUGCUUACAGCCUAUGGGUUACAUGCCAUUCAGACAUGCUGCCAUGCUGUGUUCAACCAAAAUGUAGAUUAUUUCAGUAUUAUUUAUCUGUAAUUUAUUUGAUUUGAAUUCCAAAUUUUGGUUGGGAUGAUGUAUGAAAUAACCCAUUUCAUCAAUUGACGACUGCAUUUUACAAGUGUGUUACGAGCGCGGGGCGUGCACUUAUUUAACAUGCCCUGGGAAUGUAUAAAUAGGUAUUGCAUGAAACUUAAAACUGGACCAUUUAUUCGUUAGAGUUGGAUUUAAACUCAAUGCAGGACCACUAUUGGGGUGGAUUGGACGAACAUUGUCACGAAAUGAAUUGUUUGGAGUGCCGCGGCAGAACGCAUCAAGGAAUAGGCGCAGUGAACUUCAUAUCGGCCCAUAGGCAAUGCGCUUUACAAAGGAGAAAGGGGAGUAUAUAGCCCGCCCCAGACCCACCCCUUUCCACACAAAUUCUCGAAGGGGAUCAAUAAAAAUAAACCAACAGUUUUUGCCCAUAAGGGAAAUCCGUUAGACAAUAACACCCGACCUUUUUUUUUUUUACCUAUGCCGUUUCCACUAAAAGGGCCAGUAUAUAUUCCCUCGGAUCGGAUGUGUGUGUGUGUGUGUGUGUGUGUGUGUGUGUGUGUGUGUGUGUGUGUGUGUGUGUGUGUGUGUGUGUGUGUGUGUGUGUGUGUGUGUGUGUGUGUGUGUGUGAAUUUGCUCCAAGUGAAUUUGCUCCAAAAUCGACUUGUUUGCUGACAGCCUGCUGCUGUGGAAUUGCGGACAGGGGUCAUCGAAAUUGGCCCGUGUGAUAGGCCUAAGCAACGCCUUUAAGGUGGCUGGUGGUUCAACGCAUGCGGCUAUGCCAACCUGAACGGCCGCUACGUCUCCGUGAGGCCCAAGAGCCGUGGGCCGGAGCGCCGCAGUGAGAUCCAGUGGAGGCCAAGCCGACGGGCCGCCUUCUCCCUCCGGUCCACGCAGAUCUCUGUCCGCCCCUCCUCCGCCACCAACACCUUCUCGUCCUCCGGGCAGACAGGCAGCUCCUCCCUGUGAAUUCAUCGUCUGUAAAUGAUGUCUUCUUCUCUUGAAGCCCUUCUGACUUUACCCCAAGAUAGUAAACAUGGAGAAAAAUACAAGCAAGAUGGGAUUUUAGUCUUUGGUGGCAAAGCCCAUGCUUGGCUGGGACUGAGAAGGAAGUAACAGAAGGGAAAGAUCUACUAUAGACAGCUUUACCUGGAUACUCAGCGUGCAAAGACAAUGUGUUGGUGAGAUAAUGAUAGUUUUAAGAUUAUGAAAAAUGGCAGUGAGAAGUCAUCAUCUUGCUUGUAUUAUUGAACACAAGAAUCUGACGAUGAUUGUUAUUAAAUAAAUUGAAUAACAAAGGUAACACGUCAGUCAUUGUAUCUUAACAGUUUAACACCGUUUUACGAGUGGACACCCAUGAUUAAAUGUACCUAUUCUGUGUAUAUUGAAAUUUUGAUAAAGUAUAUUUUUGUAUAACUUAUAUAAUAAUAAAUGCAUUGGAUCAAUAAUGUGGUGCUUUUGUAGCAUGCUUGUAAUCGAUAGUGGUAAUCGAUAUUACGCUUGGAUGAUGCAAUGUUAACACAAUAUUAACACAAUAUCUCUGGUCAAAUAAUAUUGACCCCUUGUGAAUCUGGCUGUUGUGAUUGGUCAGACACAGACCUACCCUCGUCUGUCACCACCCGCCAGACUGUUGCCCCAAACAAUUGUGACAAACUCCCCCAUGAACUAAAAACAACAAACCUCGAUCAAAAUAAAACUCAAAAUUCUAAACAAGUUUGCAUGCAAGCCAUGUUGAUUCAUUUUAAACUAGAUAUUACGAAUACAGUGUACAUUAUUACAUAGAAGUUGAAAAUAACGUUAACAAGCCAU